rnacentral:lncRNA from 1 species
UUCAACUCCUAGAAUUCCUCCUCCAGUCAUGUUAAUGCAGGAAUUAUGGGAGUUGAAGUCCACAAGUCUUAAACUUGCCAAGUUUGGAGACCCUUGGUCUAGAAGUAAAAAAGAUGUUCGGACACCAUUUCGUUCUCCAUCUCAUUUCCUUUGGGCCCUGCAAGAGAUUAAAUCCCACGGGUACCGAUUCAGCAGCUGAGAGGAAGAAGACCGAGGGAUCAAAUAUGCAUCCUUUUGAUAUAUAUAUGAUUAUUUUUUCCAAAAGACAGGUUUCGAAAAAGGCUGAGCGUGGUGAGACUUUGAAGAUAGAAAAUGUCCAGCUGAGGUUUACAGUUUACAGCCUGAUUGAAAACCUGCACUCACCUGGUUGCAAAAUCCAGAGUCACGAUGUUUUCGGAUCAAAUUUCUUUUAAGUCUGGAGAAUCCUGUCUCAAAUUUCAGCCAAGAUGAUGGACAAAACUGGAAACGACACAGCCAUUGGACAUCACCUGAUGAACCACCACGGUGGCUCUUUCACUACUGCCCCAAAUCUCAGAUUUACUCCUUAACACCUCCAGGAAAACAGUGAAAGAGCUGCUCUUUGGGAAACAAUCGGGAACCACUGCAGCAAAUUAACUCAACCUUCCUCAGUCUGGGGUUGGACUGCAGCUGCCCGAAUCUUCAGACAGUUAAUCCAACCUCUGUCAGGCUUAUUGGCAGCUGCCUAAAAGUGAGCCCUUUCCAUGCGUCAUGCUCACGGUUUUCUUUAGCAAGAUUUAUCGAAAGGGAUGGCGUGGGGUUUACAAGAAUUUGAAGAACUGUUUAUUAGAACUAAUCUCUCCCCAUACACGUUAUGGAAAGACUUUAUGUUUCUCUUUCUGGAUGGAUUGACAAGGACUAUUCACCAAGCUGGCAGCUGACUGUUUCUAAAACUGCCCCCUGAAUCUUUAUCGGUCUUACAUCCCUGGCAGUUUCAGUUUGGAGGCUGAUCUUCCUAAUCAAUUAUUCCUCAAAGCUUUCCAAUUUGAUAAGUUCCCCUCCCCCCCCAUGCAAAAAUUGAGUGAAAUCAGCUGCAUGGAGAGCAGAGUACAGAAUGAAUGUUUUGCAUUGGAUCUCAGCACCUAAAUCUAAUAUAAGUUAUUUGAUUUGAGUUCUUUGGAUUAGUAAGGAGAGAUUAGCUGUGAAGGAGACCAGAUUGUUAUUCAGCAUUAUUAAUGAUGUUGCCUAUUCUUAGAUUCCCCCAAACUAGAAAACUAAUACAUUUUGCUUAUUGGAGGGUGUGGGAGAAGCACGGAGUAAUCUAACAUAUAUAAAUUCUUUAAAGUAUUUAAUAUGUGUUAAGAAGACAGCAUGAUAAAUUCAAUAUUGAAAAGCAAUAUCAGGUUUACAAUUAUUUGCCAUUUAUCAUCGCUGAUUGUGCAGACAGUAUCUUACCGAGAAGAAUAAAGCGAUUCAUAAAGAGGGUUUUGGUAGAGAAGAAAGAAAAUAAAAACAAGGGAGAAGACAGAUGCAAUCUAUGCAUCCCUUUGCUACCGUUUUCACCAAACCAUUAUUUGUUCUUCCAAGAGACAAACUGUGUCUGGAUUUUGUGUGUGUUUGUGUGUGUCUGUGUAAUUGCUUUCACUUGGAUAUUAGAGAUAUGAUAAAUUUAUUAAGGAUGACCCCUGACACAUUUUCUGAACAGUGCCCUGAAAGCAGAUUUUUCUCCAAAGAUCUGAGUUUUUCCAUUUUCAGAGGUAAAUAGAGCUCUCCCAAAUCCUUGGCUUCAAGAACUGAUUUCUUUGAAGGUUACUUACAAUGAAGAAGGCAAUCUCUCUCUCUCUCUCUCUCUCUCUCACACACACACACACACACACACACACUGGCAGAAGACAAGAAAAUUCUGUUUCUAGUUCAUCUGUGAUGUUUUUAGAAAUGAUUCUUGUUAAAAGUUGUCUCACUGGUGUAGCUGUGUGGCUGAAAGGGCAUACGUGUCAAACCACCACAUACGAAGUUCUGUUAGUUUUCCAAAUCAUGUGAACUGAAUCUUUGUGGCUUGUCAAGAAGAGUUUAUUGCUUUAUGUGAUACAAGAAUGGAAUGGAAAGGAAUUCUUUACUGGCCAAGUGUGAUCGGACACACAAGGAAUUUGUCUUCGGUGCAAAUGCUCUCAGUGUGCAUAAAAGAAAAGAUGCAUUCAUCAAGAGUCAAGAAUCGUCAGGUACAAGACUUAAUGGUAGUCAUAGGGUACAAGAAGCAAUCAAAUCAUAUUAGGAAACAGUCAAUAUAAAUUGUAAGGAUACAAGCAACAAGGUUACAGUCAUACAGUCAAAAGUGGGAGGGGAUGGGUGGUGAGUGAUGAGAAGAUUAAUAGUAAUAGUAGUGCAGAGUUUGUAAAUAGUUGGACAGGGUUGAGGGAAUUAUUUCUUUAGCAGAGUGAUGGCGUUUGGGAAAAAACCUGGCCUUGUGUCUAGUUGUUCUGGUGUGCAGUGCUCUAUAGCAUCGUUUUGAGGGUGGAGAAUACAGAAUAACACAGCUGGAAAGGAUCUUGGAGGUUUUUUAGUUUAACCCCCCUGCUCAAGCUGGAAGACCCUAUCCCAUUCCAGACAAAUGGCUGUCCAGUCUCUUCUUAAAAGCCUCCACUGAUCGAGCACCCACAACUUCUGGAGGGAAGCUAUUCCAUUGGUUAAUUGUUCUAUCAGGAAAUUUCUCCUUAGUUCUAGGUUGAUACUUCAAUACUUUCCAUCUGAUACUUCUUGUCUUGCCUUCAAGUGUUCUGGAGAUUAGGUUGACCCCCCUCUUCUUUGGGACAGCCCUUCAAAUAUUGGAAGACCAGUAUCAUGUCACCCCUAGUUCUUCUCUUCAUUGGCCUAGACACAAUUCAAUUCAAUGAACUUCAAUUGUUCACAUCUUCGUCUAGGCCUAGGAAAAUUUUUGGGAAUCUGAACUGCCUUUGCAUAUAACCUACCUAGAAGACAUUUAAUGUAGAUGUAUAUGUCCCUAUGUAGACAGACACAAAUCAAAUUGCUGGCCACAAUUGCCCAAAGUCACACCAGGUUGUCAAUGGAACUUAAAAACAAAGAAGAGUCAGAAUAUUAUGAGAUUUGGAAUUUUUGGUAUAGUUGGCUGGAAGGUAGAUAUGAAAAGAAGAAAACAAAGUCAAAUAAAAAGGUAUGAUGGAAAUUAGUAACAUUACAUGUCACUAUGUUUGUAAUAUAUAAUUAGAUGAAACUUUGUGUUAUAUGUUAUAAGUAAUAAGCGUGAAUGAUUAUUCUACAUAAUUUAAGAGAUGUCAGAUUGAACACUGUUUUGCUUACGUUGCGACAAGUCGAAUGUUUGGUUUUAUUUUAUUUGUAUAAAUUGG